rnacentral:rRNA from 1 species
UACGUAGGGUGCAAGCGUUGUCCGGAAUUAUUGGGCGUAAAGGGUGUGUAGGUGGCGCGCUAAGUCGGGUGUGAAAUUUCGGAGCUUAACUCCGAAACUGCAUUCGAUACUGGCGUGCUUGAGGACUGGAGAGGAGACUGGAAUUCAUGGUGUAGCAGUGAAAUGCGUAGAGAUCAUGAGGAAGACCAGUGGCGAAGGCGGGUCUCUGGACAGUUCCUGACACUGAGGCACGAAGGCCAGGGGAGCAAACGGG